rnacentral:rRNA from 1 species
CGGGGUGAGUAACGCGUAGGUAACCUGCCCCAUACAGAGGGAUAGCCACUGGAAACGGUGAUUAAUACCUCAUAAAACUGAGAACACACAUGUAUGCUCAGCCAAAGAUUUAUCGGUAUGGGAUGGACCUGCGUCUGAUUAGUUAGUUGGUGAGGUAACGGCUCACCAAGGCGACGAUCAGUAGCCGACCUGAGAGGGUGAUCGGCCACAUUGGAACUGAGACACGGUCCAAACUCCUACGGGAGGCAGCAG